UGCCCAGGAAGGCAGGCAAAGAAAUGCAUUGCUCCCAGGGGUUGGACGCCUGCCCGGGACCAGGCCUUGAGCUGAGAACCUGGAAGCCCCUGCCAGGAUCCCUUCCUGGCCAGGCCUGCACGGGCGGGGAGUGAGGCUGGGGAUGACGCAGGGACACGGAAGCCCAGGCCCUGCUGCCCUCGUGCUCUCCGCUUGCACCUGCCAGCGUCAUGGUGGGAGCCAUGGAGGGAGAUGAUGUGGUGGGGACAGGCAACGACGGCAGAGUAAUGAGGGUGGGGACACUAAUGGUGGUCAAGGUGGCUCAGGUGCCAUUGGUGGUGGUGCAGAGUGUUGUGCUUAGUUGGGGUGGAGUGUGGGUUCCCAAGGGGGCAGGGGGCACUGAGAGUGGGAGGCCUCAGGCCUAGGGAGCCACACCAGGCCACAUGCUGAAAACGGACCUCCACAAAGGCCGCAGAGGGCUCUAGACUACUUCUCACACCUGGGCCACUCAGUGGCCAGGGCCUACAAAGAAGAGACUUCAAACAGCCCUGAGAGUUAACGUGGUCUUUAGGGCAUCACAGAUGGGGAGACUGAGGCAGGACAGGUCGGAAGCAGGGAGACCUGAUCAGAGCUUGUUCGGGCUCUGAACACCCCUGUGCUUAGAGACCCUCUGUACCCUCCCCCCCUCCCACGGGUGUGGCGGUUAUGGUGCAGUGUGGGUGGAAAGCCCCUGGGGAGGCCAGUGGCUCCAGCUCACCCUCUCCAAAGCGGGGCUUUGUCCGAUCCCGCAGUGGCCCUGUCUCAGGUUCCCUGCUCCCGACGUCCUGUUGCGCAGGGCUGGUGAUGGCGCAGCUGGACGUGUGCACAUGUCACUCACUACCCAAGCCCAAGCUUGGGAUGUCACUCAGCUCCCCAGGCCCGACCUCACUCGGCCCGGGACAUGUGGUGCCCAGCGCAGUCGUCCGGGGCAGCCGUCGCCCUUGGGACAAGGCCAGCUGGGAGGAGCCGGAAGACAAACGCUGAGGCCAACGCCCCCUCA
rnacentral:lncRNA from 1 species